UCUCCCAAAACCCAAACCAUCUCUCUCUCUCUCUCUCUCACACACACACUCAGCCUCUCCCUUUCCCCCGCCCUCUCUUGAUCUCUUGCGCUCCCUCACCCUCUCUCUGUCUCUUGGCCCCAUUCCCCUCUCUCUGUUUCCCAACCUCUCUCUCUCUCUCGCUAGGGUUUUCAAAACCCCCUUUCGCCUAAACCCAUCAUUGAUCUGUGAGAGAGACUUAGAGAGCACUCGAAAGAAGGAGAAGAAGAAGAAGAAGAAAAAGGAGGAGAAUGAGAGGAAAUCCAGACAUCGGUGCAUGCUAGAGUGGAAGCUCUUGCAGUGGGGAAGCUCUCAGUAAACUUGACGGGUUUUAACAACGAGGCCAUUUCUAUUUUUGGAAAUCAAAUCAGCCUUACAAUCCAGAGCCUUUUGCUGUUCACACAAUCUAUACUUCUCACGGUGGAAUAUCUCAACACUACAACACUUGGGCCUUAAAAAGAUUAAAAAUCAAGUAGGUUGCUUAAGUUACGAAAUCUGGAGAUAAUACGAGGUGAUGAAAAUGAUGGAUGGGUUGGAUGGCCUUCUUACAUCACAUGGCCCCAACUCUGUU